AGAACGAACGCUGGCGGCAGGCCUCAAACAUGCAAGUCUAGGGGGUGUAGCAAUACAUCACCGGCGGACGGGUGCGUAACGCGUGGGAAUAUACCUAUUGGUUCGGAACAACUGAGGGAAACUUCAGCUAAUACCGAAUAAGUCCUUACGGAGAAAGAUUUAUCGCCAAUAGAUUAGCCCGCGUUCGAUUAGCUAGUUGGUGGGGUAACGGCCCACCAAGGCGACGAUCGAUAGCUGUUCUGAGAGGAAGAUCAGCCACACUGGGACUGAGACACGGCCCAGACUCCUACGGGAGGCAGCAGUUGGGAAUCUUGGACAAUGGGGGAAACCCUGAUCCAGCCAUGCCGCGUGAGUGAUGAAGGCCUUCGGGUUGUAAAACUCUUUCGCGCACGACGAUAAUGACGGUAGUGCGAGAAGAAGCUCCGGCUAACUUCGCGCCAGCAGCCGC
rnacentral:rRNA from 1 species